rnacentral:rRNA from 1 species
GUAGUCCACGCUGUAAACUAUGGAUACUAGGUGUCCGGUUGUCUAACCGACUGGGUACCAAAGCUCACGCAUUAAGUAUCCCGCCUGGGGAGUACGGUCGCAAGGCUAAAACUCAAAGGAAUUGACGGGGGCCCGCACAAGAGGUGGAGUAUGUGGUUUAAUUCGAAGCAACGCGCAGAACCUUACCUGGGCUUAACAUCCCUUGACGACUGCAGAGAUGUAGUUUUCCCUUCGGGGACAAGGUGAUAGGUGCUGCAUGGCUGUCGUCAGCUCGUGUCGUAAGAUGUUAGGUUAAGUCCUGCAACGAGCGCAACCCCUAUCCUUAGUUACCACCAUUCAGUUGGGGACUCUAGGGAGACUGCCGGUGUUAAACCGGA